CAGAGAGCUUGCUCUUGGGUGACGAGUGGCGGACGGGUGAGUAAUGUCUGGGAAACUGCCCGAUGGAGGGGGAUAACCACUGGAAACGGUGGCUAAUACCGCAUAAUCUCGCGAGAGCAAAGUGGGGGACCUUCUGGCCUCACGCCAUCGGAUGUGCCCAGAUGGGAUUAGCUUGUUGGUGGGGUAAAGGCUCACCAAGGCGACGAUCCCUAGCUGGUCUGAGAGGAUGACCAGCCACACUGGAACUGAGACACGGUCCAGACUCCUACGGGAGGCAGCAGUGGGGAAUAUUGCACAAUGGGCGCAAGCCUGAUGCAGCCAUGCCGCGUGUAUGAAGAAGGCCUUCGGGUUGUAAAGUACUUUCAGCGGGGAGGAAGGUGAUGUGGUUAAUAACCGNAUCAAUUGACGUUACCCGCAGAAGAAGCACCGGCUAACUCCGUGCCAGCAGCCGCGGUAAUACGGAGGGUGCAAGCGUUAAUCGGAAUUACUGGGCGUAAAGCGCACGCAGGCGG
rnacentral:rRNA from 1 species